ensembl:lncRNA
GGGAGAGAGAUGUCAGAAAGAGGGAGGGAGAGUUCAGAAAGAGGGAGGAAGAGGUCAGUGAGAGGUAGGGAGAGGGGGAGAGGUCAGAGAGAGGGAGGGAGAGGUCAGAGAGAGGGAGGAAGAGGUCAGUGAGAGGUAGGGAGAGGGAGGGAGAGGUCAGAGAGAGGGAGGGAGAGGGAGGGAGAGGUCAGUGAGAGGGAGGGAGGGAGAGGGAGAGGUCAGAGAGAGGGAGGGAGAGGUCAUUGAGAGGGAGGGAGAGGGAGGGAGAGUAGACAUUAGUAGAGGGGAGACAGCAGGACAUUAGGAGGGGGAGACAGCAGGACAUUAGGAGGGGGAGAGAGCGGGACAUUAGGAGGGGGAGAGAGCGGGACAUUAGGAGGUGGGGGUGUUGUUCAUGGGUUCCAGAGGCCAGGGAGACCCUUACAGCCAGGAACAGAUGCUGGCGUUAUUCCCCCUGCUCUCUACCCC